rnacentral:rRNA from 1 species
UACAGAGGGUGCGAGCGUUAAUCGGAAUUACUGGGCGUAAAGCGCGCGUAGGCGGCUUUGCAAGUCGGGUGUGAAAUCCCCAGGCUUAACCUGGGAACUGCAUUCGAGACUGCAUUGCUAGAGUAUGGGAGAGGGAAGUGGAAUUUCCGGUGUAGCGGUGAAAUGCGUAGAGAUGCGGAGGAACACCGAUGGCGAAGGCAGCCCCCUGGGCUGACACUGACGCUCAGGCACGAAAGCGUGGGGAGCAAACAGG